GGGAAACUGCCUGAUGGAGGGGGAUAACUACUGGAAACGGUAGCUAAUACCGCAUAACGUCGCAAGACCAAAGAGGGGGACCUUCGGGCCUCUUGCCAUCAGAUGUGCCCAGAUGGGAUUAGCUAGUAGGUGGGGUAACGGCUCACCUAGGCGACGAUCCCUAGCUGGUCUGAGAGGAUGACCAGCCACACUGGAACUGAGACACGGUCCAGACUCCUACGGGAGGCAGCAGUGGGGAAUAUUGCACAAUGGGCGCAAGCCUGAUGCAGCCAUGCCGCGUGUAUGAAGAAGGCCUUCGGGUUGUAAAGUACUUUCAGCGGGGAGGAAGGUGUUGUGGUUAAUAACCGCAGCAAUUGACGUUACCCGCAGAAGAAGCACCGGCUAACUCCGUGCCAGCAGCCGCGGUAAUACGGAGGGUGCAAGCGUUAAUCGGAAUUACUGAGCGUAAAGCGCACGCAGGCGGUCUGUCAAGUCGGAUGUGAAAUCCCCGGGCUCAACCUGGGAACUGCAUUCGAAACUGGCAGGCUAGAGUCUUGUAGAGGGGGGUAGAAUUCCAGGU
rnacentral:rRNA from 1 species